rnacentral:pre_miRNA from 1 species
GAAGAAAACUAAAUCAUGUUCCUAAGUACUAGUGCCGCAGGAGUGACUUUCCGAUAUCUCCUGCUGCUUAAGUGCUUAUCAAUAGAUUUAGUGCUUC